rnacentral:rRNA from 1 species
UGAACGCUGGCGGUAUGCUUAACACAUGCAAGUCGAACGGAAACGAUACUAGCUUGCUAGUAGGCGUCGAGUGGCGGACGGGUGAGUAACGCGUAGGAAUCUGCCUGAUAGUGGGGGAUAGCCCGAAGAAAUUCGGAUUAAUACCGCAUAAUCUAUUCGUAGUAAAGUGGGGGACUUUCGAGCCUCACGCUAUCAGAUGAGCCUGCGUAAGAUUAGCUUGUUGGUAGGGUAAAAGCCUACCAAGGCGACGAUCUUUAGCUGGUCUGAGAGGAUGAUCAGCCACAUCGGGACUGAGACACGGCCCGAACUCCUACGGGAGGCAGCAGUGGGGAAUAUUGGACAAUGGGGGCAACCCUGAUCCAGCAAUACCGCGUGUGUGAAGAAGGCCUGAGGGUUGUAAAGCACUUUCAAUUGUGAAGAAAAGUUAGCGGUUAAUAACCGUUAGCCUUGACGUUAACUUUAGAAGAAGCACCGGCUAACUCCGUGCCAGCAGCCGCGGUAAUACGGAGGGUGCAAGCGUUAAUCGGAAUUACUGGGCGUAAAGCGUGCGUAGGCGGUUUAUUAAGUCAGAUGUGAAAGCCCCGGGCUUAACCUGGGAACUGCAUUUGAAACUGGUCAACUAGAGUAUGGUAGAGGAAAGUGGAAUUUCUGGUGUAGCGGUGAAAUGCGUAGAUAUCAGAAGGAACAUCAAUGGCGAAGGCAGCUUUCUGGACCAAUACUGACGCUGAGGUACGAAAGCGUGGGUAGCAAACAGGAUUAGAUACCCUGGUAGUCCACGCCGUAAACGAUGAUAACUAGCCGUUGGGGGGAUUUACCCUUUAGUGGCGAAGCUAACGCGUUAAGUUAUCCGCCUGGGGAGUACGGCCGCAAGGUUAAAACUCAAAGGAAUUGACGGGGACCCGCACAAGCGGUGGAGCAUGUGGUUUAAUUCGAUGCAACGCGAAGAACCUUACCUGGUCUUGACAUCCUGCGAACUUUCUAGAAAUAGAUUGGUGCCUUCGGGAACGCAGUGACAGGUGCUGCAUGGCUGUCGUCAGCUCGUGUCGUGAGAUGUUGGGUUAAGUCCCGUAACGAGCGCAACCCCUAUCCUUAUUUGCCAGCACAUCAUGGUGGGAACUAUAAGGAGACUGCCGGUGAUAAACCGGAGGAAGGCGGGGACGACGUCAAGUCAUCAUGGCCCUUACGACCAGGGCUACACACGUGCUACAAUGGGAAGGACAAAGAGCCGCGAAGCCGCGAGGUGUAGCUAAUCUCAUAAACCUUUUCGUAGUCCGGAUUGGAGUCUGCAACUCGACUCCAUGAAGUCGGAAUCGCUAGUAAUCGUAGAUCAGAAUGCUACGGUGAAUACGUUCCCGGGUCUUGUACUCACCGC